rnacentral:rRNA from 1 species
CUAAGCCAUGCGAGUCGAACGAGAAUUUCUUACACCGAGUGCUUGCACUCACCGUAAGAAAUUCGAGUGGCGGACGGGUGAGUAACACGUGGGUAACCUGCCCAAAAGAAGGGGAUAACAUUUGGAAACAAAUGCUAAUACCGUAUAACCAUGAUGACCGCAUGGUCAUUAUGUAAAAGGUGGUUCUGCUAUCGCUUUUGGAUGGACCCGCGGCGUAUUAACUAGUUGGUAGGGUAACGGCCUACCAAGGUGAUGAUACGUAGCCGAGUUGAGAGACUGAUCGGCCACAAUGGGACUGAGACACGGCCCAUACUCCUACGGGAGGCAGCAGUAGGGAAUCUUCCACAAUGGGCGCAAGCCUGAUGGAGCAACGCCGCGUGAAUGAAGAAGGUCUUCGGAUCGUAAAAUUCUGUUGUUAGAGAAGAAUAUGAGUAAUAGUAACUGAUUAUUCACUGACGGUAUCUAACCAGCAAGU